GGCGUAGUUCAUCGGUAGAAUGACAGCUUCCCAAGCUGUAGAGGCGGGUUCGAUUCCCGUCUAAGUAUCCA
rnacentral:tRNA from 1 species